UACAGAGGGUGCAAGCGUUAAUCGGAAUUACUGGGCGUAAAGCGUGCGUAGACGGUUAUCUAAGUCGGGUGUGAAAUCCCCGGGCUCAACCUGGGAAUUGCAUUCGAUACUGGAUAGCUAGAGUUCGGCAGAGGGAAGUGGAAUUUCCGGUGUAGCGGUGAAAUGCGUAGAUAUCGGAAGGAACAUCAGUGGCGAAAGCGGCUCUCUGGGACGGUACUGACGCUGAGACGCGAAAGCGUGGGGAGCGAACAGG
rnacentral:rRNA from 1 species